GGUGAAGGAGAACCGGGGCCCGGAGCCAGGCGGGGGUUUGCUGGAGCUGAGGCUAGGGCACGCGGGCCCUUACCUCCACCUUCUGACCUCUCCCGUCAGGCGACCAUGCGGAAUGGGCAAGCAGCCAGCUCCCAGCCCGCAGGGCCCCCGCCCCCGCCUGUGCUGGCUCACGUGACGCUGCCGCCACCUCCGCCCUUGACGACGGACUUCACGUUGCGGCCGCUGGGAGGCAGCCUGGGCGUUGGCAUCAGUGCUGGUCGAGGUUCAGAACGGAACCCCGGUACUGCAACCUCCAGUACCUCAGGGGCCGCCGAGGUCCGUGCCUGCGGCUGCCUGCCCAACCCGGACACAUUCGAGGAGUACCACCGGAAGUACAAGGAACUGUUUCCCAUUCAGAUGGUAGCCCUCAGCACAAUCCGGGAAUCCAACUACCACUUCUGGGUCACGUAUUUGAGGACAAAGCAGCUGAGUCCCACAGAGGCGUUCCCUGUGCUGGUGGGUGACAUGGACAACAGCGGCAGCCUCAAUGCUCAGGGCAUUCACUAGCUGGGCCCUGGCGUCAGGUCCAAGAUGGCCAUCCAGACUCAGCAGUCGAAGUUUGUGAACUUGCAGGUGGACGGGAAGUACUGGGACUCUGACUUCACAGCGGUCGUCACGCUGGGAACCCAGAUGUCCUUGUGGGUUCAGGAAUCCUCGUAACCUUCUACCUACCUCCAGAGCAUCACGCCUUGACUGGCUCUGAGCAGAGAGCUGGUCUACCACCCGCAGCCUGGGGAGGAGGGCACCGUCAUGUCUCUAGCUGGAAAAUACACAUUGAACAUUUGGUUGGCAACGGUAAUGUUGGGCCAGGAGGGCAUGCACAGGACAUACUACCACAAAGCCAGUGACCAGCUGCAGGUGCGUGUGGAGUUUGGAGGCCAGCACAAGGAUGCAGGACACCAGUGUCUCGUUCAGGUACCAGCUGGACCUGCCCAAGGCCAACCUCCUCUUCAAAGGCUCUGUGGACAGCAACUGGAUCGUGGGUGCCACCCUGGGGAAGAAGCUCCCACCCCUGCUCCUGACACUGGCCCUCCAGGCCUUCCUGAAUCACUGCAAGAACAAGUUCCAGUGCAGCUUUGGCCUCACCAACCGCUAUUCCAGUCAAGAGGGGUGGGUAGCUGGAGCCUCUCCUGGCAGCACAGAGAACAAGGUAGGAACCAGCCCUGGACAGGGCAGCAUCCCAUCACAGGGUGAACUCACCCAUAAGCCUACACUCUCUCAGACCGGGAAAUUUAAAUACUAGAGCACCAAACUUGCACAUUUUUGGGAUGCAGGAGGGGUCAACCUAAAAUAAUCAAAAGGAUCAGAAUCUAAUUUAAAGAGAAUUUGUUCAAGCACAAAGUGUGAGGCUAGACCAUCUGAAAACACCAAUGCCAAAAGAAUGGAGUCAGCAUUCCAAAGUAGGCAAGAUUUGAUAUAGGCAGAGACAGAGGAGUGUUUAGCAGGAUUACAUUAUUUGUAUUAUAGGCUGGCAUACAAUUAUAGCAGUUGACUGGCUACAGGCAGUGUUUCUUCUUGGGAAGGGUACAUUUAGCACUUUAUAAAGAGGGUGUAAUAAUCAUGAUUUUUCUGUCAUCUGGUCUAAGCAAAGCAGGACAAAACAA